UCGGGCGUACCCAAGAAGUUGGCGUAGCAAAACAGCAUCUCCUCCCGCGAGUUGGAGGAGGAAGAGGCCGGGCGGGGAAGAGUCUCAUUUGAAAUCCACGCAUGCUAUUUUUUUUUCUCGCCCAUCCGUAUCUCCUCAAACUCUCAGCACUUCAAAGAUCUGGAAGGCUUCAGCUACUCUUUGCCAAAUCUUGCUUGUACCAGAUUAUUUGAAAUUCAGUAGAGGAAGAGGAAAGCAGGGUUCGUUGGAUUGGGGGACAGAGGCCGGUUCAGCUCUCAGAAACGUUCAAGCUCCGUCUCUUCAUCCCACGUGACUACUGAGCUGAGAAACAGGUCCAGUCCACACAGAGUCUUUUUGCUAUCCUUGAAUACUGUCUACGGGGAUAGCUUGUAGGGGAGGUGCAACAGGUAUCUGUUUUAUACAUAAGAAGAUGUACUUUUGUACAGCAGUUCAUGUUUGGUAGAGAGGAUCUUUGUUGGAGGAUGCAGUGAAUGGAGACAGCGUGAUCCCACAAAAAAGGCAUCAGUUGUUGUAAUAAUCUUCUCUGUGUGCUGGAAGAUCUCAGAAGAAGGUCACAUGAUCUGUACUGUGAAUGCUGGGGGAGGGGCAGAAACAAGAACCGCUGACUGCAGUCCCUCUGUGCCAAAAUAUUUUGAA